rnacentral:rRNA from 1 species
CAGUCGCCACGGUAAUACGAGGGGGGCAAGCGUUGUUCGGAAUUAUUGGGCGUAAAGGGCGCGUAGGCGGUUUGGCAAGUUUGGUGUGAAAUCUUCGGGCUCAACUCGAAGUCUGCAUCGAAAACUGCCGGGCUUGAGUAUGGGAGAGGUGAGUGGAAUUUCCGGUGUAGCGGUGAAAUGCGUAGAUAUCGGAAGGAACACCUGUGGCGAAAGCGGCUCACUGGACCAUUACUGACGCUGAGGCGCGAAAGCUAGGGGAGCAAACAGGAUUAGAUACCCCUGUAGUCCCUGUCUCUUAUAC